rnacentral:tRNA from 1 species
UCCCUGGUGGUUCAGUGGUUAGGACCCUGCAUUUCCAUUGCAGGGGGCAUGGGCCAUGGGUUCAAUCCAUGGCAGGGAA